rnacentral:rRNA from 2 species
GAUUUCUGGUGUGAUUCGCUUGACCCGUCGUGUCUGACAUGUAUGAGUGUCGAUGCAGAUCUGCCAUCACUUCUAGGUAGGCUUCAUUCUCUUCAUUGAGCAGUGAAUGUCAUGUCUAGAUCUUUUACUUUGAAAAAAUUAGAGUGUUUCAAGCAGGCUUCUUGCUAUGAAUACAUUAGCAUGGAAUAAUAAUUUAGGACUUUUGUUCUAUUUUGUUGGUUUCUAGAAUGGAAGUAAUGAUUGAUAGGGAUAGUUGGGGGUGCUAGUAUUCAGUGGCCAGAGGUGAAAUUCUCGGAUUCACUGAAGACUAACUUAUGCGAAAGCAUU